rnacentral:rRNA from 1 species
UACAGAGGUCUCAAGCGUUGUUCGGAUUCAUUGGGCGUAAAGGGUGCGUAGGCGGCGCGGUAAGUCGGGUGUGAAAUCUCGGAGCUUAACUCCGAAACUGCAUUCGAUACUGCCGUGCUUGAGGACUGGAGAGGAGACUGGAAUUUACGGUGUAGCGGUGAAAUGCGUAGAUAUCGUAAGGAAGACCAGUGGCGAAGGCGGGUCUCUGGACAGUUCCUGACGCUGAGGCCCGAAGGCCAGGGGAGCAAACGGG